AACGAACGCUGGCGGCAUGCCUAACACAUGCAAGUCGAACGAACCCUUCGGGGUUAGUGGCGCACGGGUGCGUAACGCGUGGGAACCUGCCCUUAGGUUCGGAAUAACUCAGAGAAAUUUGAGCUAAUACCGGAUAAUGUCUUCGGACCAAAGAUUUAUCGCCUUAGGAUGGGCCCGCGUUGGAUUAGCUAGUUGGUGAGGUAAAAGCUCACCAAGGCGACGAUCCAUAGCUGGUCUGAGAGGAUGAUCAGCCACACUGGGACUGAGACACGGCCCAG
rnacentral:rRNA from 1 species